GUUACAGACAGUUGUUAGCUGCCAUGUUGGUGCUGGGAUUCGAACCCAGGUCUUCUGCAAGAACAGCCAGUGUUUUUAACUGCUGAGCCGUCUCUCCAGCCCAUUCUGCUGUAGCCCCUCCGCCUGGUGUUCCCACCUGUAUAUUUGGCUCACAGAAAUGCUUGGUCUUCACAUCCUUUCUGACCUGCCAAAGUGUUGUUCCUGAUGGUCUGGGUACCUUUCUGCACUACUAUGGCGCUUCCAUGGCAAGAGGCCACAGGCUCAGUGGCUAAGACAACAGAAAAUUACUUUCUUAAAGUUCUGGCAGUUGGAAAUCCUCAACUAAGGAGUUACAGGUCUGGCUCCACCUGUGGUUCCUCUCCUUGGCUUGCAGAUGUUGGACAAGACCCCACAGAAAAUGUCAGCCACAGUGGAAAAAUGCAGUUCAACACUGCCAGCAGCAGCCUGGGGAGUUUGUUCUCCCCUUAGAGACCUCCACUCAGGUAGAGCCAGAUCCUUGGCUAUGCCAGAGAAAUGGCAGCACAAGAAAGGGGGGUUAAAAUGAGUGAGUUUAAGUAUUUAAGAAGAGGACAGUAUAUAAUCCCAACACAUGAAUGUGAGCCUCUUGAGAGUCAUAUUCAGUCACACCUUACAAUGACUAUAUUUAUGAUUUUGUGGCUAAGUUAUAUGCUCAAUUAAAGAUUGAGCAAAUUUAAAUGAAGUUUAAAAGUUGGUUACAAAUAUAUUAUCUGGUUUACUUAUUUCUCCUAUCAAAGCAUUUCUUCUUGUAAAUGAAACUGUAAGGUGGUUUAUAUGAGGUGCUGUUUAGAUUUAGAGAUGAGAGAGGAGGGCUAAUACCUAAAGCUCAAGAUUAUACCCAUUCUAGCCAUGAGUGACCAUAGUUCACUUAUUGUUUUUAACCUCUUUGUUUGAGAUGUCUUUAGGAAAACACACAUCAUCUCUGUUGGUAAUUUUGGCUUUAUUGGUUGUAAUGUUUCUUGACUCUCAGCCAGUAGGAAAGGCAAACUAGAUCCCAGGUGAAGGCUUAUCCCCUCCUCAUGCUCCCUUCAUUCUCCGUCUUUCUAUCCUGCCUGUGAUGACAGGCUGGCAUAGCCAUAUCCAUCACCUCACUACGUGACCUGUUUUCUAGUCCAGGUGUUUUACCCUUCAUUGAUCUGACGUGUUCGAUAAGUUCUUGGGUCUGGUUUUUCUGAUGUGGCUCUAAUCUACCCAUGUGUUUGCAACUGAAUUUGAUAAAUUCAUUAAAGUGGUGCCUUUUUA